AGAGUUUGAUCCUGGCUCAGAACGAACGCUGGCGGCGUGCUUAACACAUGCAAGUCGAACGUGAUCCGGAGCUUGCUCCGGUGAAAGUGGCGCACGGGUGAGUAACGCGUGGAUAAUCUGCCCUGGUAUCUGGGAUAACAUCUCGAAAGGGGUGCUAAUACCGGAUAAGCCUACGGUCUCUUCGGAGUCUGCAGGAAAAGGUGGCCUCUAUUUAUAAGCUACCGUAUCAGGAUGAGUCCGCGUACCAUUAGCUAGUUGGUGGGGUAAUGGCCCACCAAGGCUACGAUGGUUAGCUGGUCUGAGAGGAUGAUCAGCCACACUGGAACUGAGACACGGUCCAGACUCCUACGGGAGGCAGCAGUGGGGAAUUUUGCGCUAUGGGGGAAACCCUGACGCAGCAACGCCGCGUGAGUGAUGAAGGCUUUCGGGUCGUAAAGC
rnacentral:rRNA from 1 species